AAAUUAGUAUCUCUUUACUUUUGGUGCGACUUUGAUGUUUAAUGAAGUUGUUCUUUGUUUUUAUUAUAGAAAAAAUAAACCCAGGUUGAGUUUUUAGUUUUAUCCAUGAAGAAGGAAACACAAGCUGAGUUCUUAUGCAGCAAUCUUUACAUUUUUGGUUUAAGCCAUGUAAAAAAAUAAGUGUUUGUUGAAUUGUCUCUGUGAGAAUUAUGGAUAUUCAUUUUCAUAACUGGGUUGCAGGAAUAAAAAUUUGAGAUGAUACUGCUAUUUAGCUGCAAAGCAGCAGUGAUGACCAAAAACAAAUAUAGGUAUUCGUAAUUCAGUUCCAUUACAAUUCUUUAUAUCGGGUUUAAAAGGGAACUGUAUUUUUUUUCUUUGGCUUUGUUGUAGAGUGGUGGAUUCUUUGAAAGUUAAAACAUCAUGCAGGUAGACCUUUAGUAAACACGGUGGAUCCUUUGGAUUAUGGGUAUGAUGGAGAAAACGUUAAAUGUUGCCUCAGGAACAGAGCCAUGGCUGCAUUGCAACCAGCACCAACUAAGGUGACCAAACACCAGUUGGGUAUAGAGAACCAUAUUUCUGACACACAAGAAAAUCUCUAAACCUAAAUUUCUCCCGAUUGUGAAUAUUCAAAUCAUUUCUUUUGUAGCCUAUCGUUACCACAGAAGAAACAAUACAUAUGCAGAUUCGAAUCGGUGGUGGCGGAGUCUUGGAGUUGUGAGUCUUGUGACUGAAUGGAAUUUCGCAAGAGACAACCUGAAUUGAAUCUUCUUAUGGAGCUUGGGUAGUUAUAAGAAAUUUUAAUAGCUAAGCCAGUAAAAGGUUUGGGAGGACUGAAAGAUGUUUUUUUGUCAACUUAUAACUCAUAUUUGAACUAGGUUAUU